rnacentral:rRNA from 1 species
AAGACCUUGCACUUUUGGAGCGGCCGAUGUCUGAUUAGCUAGUUGGUGGGGUAAUGGCCUACCAAAGCUUCGAUCAGUAGCUGGUCUGAGAGGACGGCCAGCCACACUGGGACUGAGACACGGCCCAGACUCCUACGGGAGGCAGCAGUGGGGAAUUUUGGACAAUGGGCGCAAGCCUGAUCCAGCCAUGCCGCGUGAGUGAAGAAGGCCUUCGGGUUGUAAAGCUCUUUCAGCCGGGAAGAAAAGGUUGCGAUUAAUAAUCGCAAUUUAUGACGGUACCGGAAGAAGAAGCACCGGCUAACUACGUGCCAGCAGCCGCGGUAAUACGUAGGGUGCGAGCGUUAAUCGGAAUUACUGGGCGUAAAGGGUGCGCAGGCGGUUUUGUAAGUCAGAUGUGAAAUCCCCGGGCUUAACCUGGGAGCU